rnacentral:lncRNA from 1 species
AGCUUUUAGUAGGUCAGUGUUUUAUCAUUAAUUAUUAUAGUUUAUGCUUAAGCUCCCAAAUAUCCCAUAUGAUCAGUUAUUAGAACCAUAGUAAGUCAAUAAGUCACAUUAAAGCAUAAUUAUACAUCAUCAUGUACCAUAUAGCCAUCAGUAACCAGUUAUUCUGUGAGUUUUCCGGGCCGCUCGUGACCGUGAGCACGGCUGUUAUAACAGUUUUACACUCUGCAGAGGUUGUGCACUUUCACCGUGAGUCGUGUUGCCCACAUGCCCGGGGUCCGUCGACCCCCAAACACUACCAAGGUGAGCGGGCAGGGUACACUAUGAAGCCUUCCAUAGGCCUAUUCUAACCAGUUAGGGCCGCGAGGUUUCCUCGGCAGGCAGAUGUAGAAAACCCCUCUUUCCUAUGGCACAUUUCCAUCGCGGCUAUACUCAUAGAAACAGGGGCAGCCCUACACCCAAAGUGGCAAGCGCCUCUUGCGCCCUUUCGGGUAACCUCUAACGAGUUAGAAAAGGUCCUAUUACUGAGCUAAAGUCAGAGCCAUAUGACUCUCCCAGUUGCACUGUAAGUCCCAGCUUUUGCUGACAGAUAAGUCCUUACGGAGGGUUUAGGACAACCUGACCAACAGUCAUUUGUACCAUAGCCCUAUGUUCCAUUUAUCAUAAUCAUGUUUAAUCAAUUAACCAUGGUUCCAUCACUAAUUUCAGAUCAUAUAAAAUUAGAGUUAGAGCACUAGCACUUCUACCCAUAUGCAAUAAAAACCCUUGGGAACAAGGUAAUUGUCAUCAACAGCUAGGAUGUCCUUAUAGUUUGCAAUAUUAUACACAUGCAGGGUGAAAUGCUUAAAAAUGAGUAGGACAACAAGGUAGGCCCAUGCUAUACUUGCCUUGAUUCACGUACUCCUGCUGGUCUUGCUGGUCCUGCUGAUCCCCAAAGAGCUCCGGACUCCCGAAAUACUCCUCACCGUCUGGGCUCGAUCAAUACAUCACAAUCAUCACGCAUACCAAGACGAACAUGCAAGAGAACAAUUCCUAAAGUUAGAACAGUACACCAGCAGUAAAUAAAUUAAAUAAAAGUUUUCCAAAAUCAUCUAUGUGCUGCUACGAUCACGUCAACGCGAAAUUCACGAAAAACGGACUUACGACGCGAAAGUUACGCUUUUAACGGGAUUUCAACAACAAUCUAUGGACUUGUAAUUAACUAGGAAAUCUAACAGUGGUAAACCUAAACAACAGUGGUACCAACGCGAAGCUUACGAAAUUACAAAACUAACGCAACUUGAACGGGUCGAUUCGGAGUUCAAACGACGAUUUUAUAGCUAAAACAAUGCGGUGGCAAUUCUGUAAUUAAGACAUAGUUUAAACGAAUUUAAAUAAAUAAGUUAAAUCCUGGAAAAUCUCUCUAGCCGAGGACUGCGGUGCAAAUACAAUAAUUUUUGGGGGACUCUUAAUCAAAAUCGCCCCCGAAGGGGUAUGGGGCUCUCUGGGCCGUUGAUCUCUUGAUGAACGCGCUGGAUUAAAAGAAAAAAAAUAAAAAAAAAGAGAGAGGAAGGGGACGGCGCACAGGCCGACUCCGGCCAGAACACGUGAAGAAUACGGUGGCCACCAUGGCCGGCGCCUGAAGCUCGCCGGAGUUGAGCGGAGGAGGGCCUACGGCUCGACGGAAAUCGCGUGGAGGUCGCCGGCGGCGGUUCUUCUGCGACUUCUCAGAACUCUCGCGAGAUGAGACAGAGCGAGGAGGAGAAAAUGAGAGGGGGAGCGGCUUCGGGCGCGGACGCUCUCCACUACGUAGCCGAGACGCGAGGAGAGGAGAACGUGGGCGCGGGGGGCGGCUUUGGCGGUUGCUGCUGAGAGAGAGGAAUUCGGGAGCGACGGUUUUGGGGGAGGGGAUGAACCUGACGGGUGGGCCCCACCCGUCAGCCGCCAGAGAGAGAGAGGGGGAGCCGGCUGGGCCGCGGGGUUUUGGGCCAAAAUGGCCGAAAAGAGGAAGGGGAAGAGAAAUCCCUUUUUAUUUUUCAAACAAAUUUUCCAUUCAUUUUCCAAAUGGAUUUUUAAUCAAUUUGACAUUUGUUUUCAAAACACUCAUCACAUAAAAGAAUGCUCC